CUCCCCAGGUGCCAGACUUAAGAUUUGCUCUUGCUUUUGCAGGGGAAACUGCAAAGCCAACCACGCAACGGUGCACGGUGCCACGGAAAAGACCACAAGGUGACACAGACGACCCUGUCUGCAGGGCUCCCAGCCGAAGGGGGGUGAAGGGUUUCCAAACUAGGAGCCAUGUGCUGUUGCUGCAAGGGCCUCACCAGGAAUGCAGAGAGUACCAAAGAUAAUAGCAAGCCUCCUCCCCGCAGAAGACAAAAGGCACCUCUCCCAGACCUAGGCUGCUACCUUUCUCCAAGCUCAGCACUCACAACUACAGUGCCCCUCAGCCUCAGAGCAAGCUCAGGUCGCCUUGCCUGUGCCUCAGCUAGGAACAGCCUCUUUUGCCACCACUGCUCAUCUGGGCCUGGCAUCCCACCAAGACCCACCUCGUACCCCCUCUGCUCGGCCAGAGCCCACGCAGGGCACGAGACUGGGAGAGGGAGAUGGCAAAGACACUGGCUGCAGACUGAUCCUGUGUCCUACAGUCACUCAGUCACAGACACCCCGGACCCAAACACACGUCCCCAGGCUCAGCAUCGCUCGUGGUGUGGGGCAGGACAGCCGGCCGAAGGGCCCACAGCGGCUAACGUGGGCCCCAGCUGGGGCUGAUGCUCUCAGCCAAGGCCUCGAGAGGGGAGCAGCAGAGACAGAUGUUAAUAAGGUCGCAAAGGCUACAGAUUAAAGGGUGUUGCCAGGGCCUGGCAACCCCCUGGAAGCAGAGGCCCUCGCUUGGGAAUACCUGGCCUGUAGCCCAGAAGCCAGGCCCAGACACGCACCUUCGCGGGCCGGCUGGCUCAUGCCGAGAAAGAAGGGGAGGAAGUGUGCAGGGAACAAACGGAGGCAGACAAGGAUGCCACGACAGGCCACGCAGGGACAGCCCCGAGCCAGGCUGUCCCUUCCCUCUGGCAGCCAGCUGAGGCCAUUCUUGAUGGUGUCUUGUACUUACCCCGCUCCAUUCCACGCCCAUACUCACUUCCUCGCUACCGUCUGUGGCAUUCUCGUACUUGACGCUGCCCCCCAGGCUCCGGCGCCUCUCUGUGCCAUCACCCUCCUUCAGGAUCUCCACCACCUUCGUCUGGUUGAUUGGGUCAAUG